rnacentral:SRP_RNA from 2 species
GCCGGGUGUGGUGGCACACACCUGUAGUCCCAGCUACUCAGGAGGCUGAGGUAGGAGAAUUGCUUGAACCUGGGAGGCGGAGGUUGCAGUGAGCCAAGAUUGGGCCACUGCACUCCAGCCUGGGUGACAGAGCGAGACUCUGUCUCAC